GUGCAGUGGAGGGCUUUAUCAGGGACAAAUACGAAAAGAAGAAGUACAUGGACAGAAGUCUGGACAUCAACAUGUUACGGAGAGAAAAGGAUGACCAAUGGAAAAAGGAGGCACCCUCGGGGAAAAAACUGGAGCCAAUUAUCUUUGAGAAGGUGAAAAUGUGUUAGAUGAGCCACAAAAUAAUGUGUACAACAGUAUUUACUCAGAAAUAAAUCUGAUGGGACUUAAAGCCAAGUAUGUGUGCCCAGGAUUGCUGCAUUAAUGGAUGUGCUGGAGCAGGGUGGAUCUGCUGAAGGUGGUGUUAUAUUGGGCCAGCAUUUCAUUGCAGCCAGGAAGUCAAAAUAACCCUCAACUUGAACUCGGAAGAGAAUGUUUAUCUUCUUUCUUUCAGCCUCCUCAUCAGUAAAUGAAGACAUUGUUUGCUUAGAAUAGCCAGCUUGCAGGACAAAAACCACCACCUCCUUUUGCAGACCAAGGUCUGUGUGUGCCAGGCAGGCCUGGCAAGUUGCAGCUUGCAGAAGUGAAGUUUUCUGCCCCCUUGGCAUUCCAAAAGACACCUGCAAAAGCAUUUAUGUCCUCUUACUUGAGUCAGCUUUGGAUGGAGCAAAGUCUGCAACGAUUUCUGUUUCUGCUCCUUCAUCUGCCUCCACAUACGGCAGCUUUGCUGGAACAGAGAAGUUGAAAGAAGUCCUUUGCAAGUGUGGAGUUUGAUUAUUGAAAUCAUUCCACAUUUAGGAGUAUCUCUGAUGUUCCUCUUCCAAAUGUGGGUGUUUUCCAUUGUUGGCAAUUACUAUUGUGACUACUAUAACUCAGUGAAACGGGGGCACAAUUUUUAAAAAGCGCACUGUGAAAAUCCUGGGAAUGAAUGGAGGCUGAGGAAAAGGCAGGGCAAAGCAGAAUAUUAACACUUCAUUUCAGCUGGGACACUUUACAGCCCAACUCCACCAAGCCUUC